CAGUAGGGGCCGCUGUUCACAUUUGCCCACACCCAUGGUAGGGCGAAUCACAGAGGGAAGCGCCUGAACAUGGAAAAUCCUGGCUCUGAGAUGAACAUCAGGGUGCUUCUCAUUAACCCCAUUUAGAGGGGUUUGCCGGCACAGAUGAGCAAUUGCUCUCCGUGGGUUGGAGAGAAGACUGAAGGUUUCCUCAGGCCUUAGAGGAGCAGUAUACAGAAGACCUGCACAACAAAUGAUAUACAAUUCAGUAUAUCUAUUAGGCAAGAGCCUGGCCAAAGUUUCUACUAAUGGGUGCCUCCAAUGGAGAGGAUUUGAAAACCUGAAGGGUAAACUGGCAAAGAGUAAGUCAUGGCGACUGCAUCCUGCACUGUAGAAUGGGGAGCCAUUGCUGGAAGGUUUGCAGGAUUCUAGACACCUUUUAAUGCUGAGAAGGUGGAAAGGGGCACUUUGGAAAAGAUGAUAGAAGAUACGCACAUAAAGUAAAUGAGUGGUCCCAGGAUUCCCAUCCUCAAAAGCAGGUACUGAGUGGCACUGAAGUGUGAAGCAAAUCCAAGCAGCAAGCAGAACUGGAGUUGGUCAAGCCAUCCAGGGGGCAAAGGAGAGGGACAGAAAGAGAAGAGGCAUGCCACAGAUUGCCUGGGCAGCCCCUUCAAGAUCCUUCCCAAACACAGAACAUUCUAACCCAACACUCUGGAUGAUCCCUCCCAGCGCCCGCGGAUGUCCAGAGUCAGCUUUUCUCUAUUCCUGCGACAGCUGCUCCAGCUCCCAGCAGAGCCAGCGCCUGGGCAACGAGGUGAGAACCUUAGCUGUUUUCCAGAGAUUCCGUAUGGCAGCAUGGCCACAAAUAGCUGUGCCAACUUGAGCAAGACGCCCACUCCUCAGCGAGGAGGAUCUGUGUGCCUGAGUCAGACAUGUCCUGCUCUCUUCCUCCAUUUGAUGCCAGCCACAGAAAUCCUCUCGACUCAGAAGUUACUACGCUCCUUUUCUUAGACGUCUGCCUCCAACCUGCUUUCCAUUGGCAGCUGACCUCCACCCACCCCCCCCCCCCCCGCCCCCUGCUUCUGUCUUCUGCCUACUGGUUAUGUGUGUGUGUCCCCUUCCCAGCUGUCUGGUCAACUGCUGGCCACAGCCACCCAGACUAUCCUGUCUCCCCUGCUCUUUUCUCCAACCUACCCCCUCUCUCCUCUACACAGCUGGGCUCUUGGGGGACAUGGCUGUCUGAGCUAUAGUUCUGUGGGCACAGGUGGCUCUGGCAGAUGUAAGUUCUUUCCAUUCAUGUGGGUAAACAGUCAACAUUAUAUUAAACUAUUCAUUACUGA